UCCAAGGACGAAGUCCACCUAUAAAUAUUGCAGGAAUAAUAAAAAUAAGAACAGUCUGCUUUGUAAACUAAAGCCAGUGUUACAGGAAUUCCUUGAUUAACCUCAAAAGUUACAAUUAUGUUUGCCAAAUUGGUAUUUUUAUUUGCACUGAUCGCUGUGACUUUCGCCCGUCCUCAGUACUACCCUAGCUACGGCUACAAUGGCUACAGUUCUGGUUACCCCAGCUACUACGGAUAUUCCGGAUAUUCGAGCCCCCUAGGAUAUUCAGGAUACGGUUACGGAUCACCUUAUAAUUACGGAUAUGGAUAUUACUGAGUUUUAAUGUACAUUUUGAUCUCUACUAACUGCCGAAAUGUUUUGUCCAUUUUGUUUCUUUAUUUUUAUUUUUUGUUGCCAAUGUGAUAUAUUUUGUAAUUAUUUGAAUAUUUUUAAAUGUAACAAUUAAAUAUUUUAGUUCGC